UGGAAUAGUCUACAUGCAUAGACUAGAUUUUAAAAUAUCUAUGAGGACACCUUGUAUAGUUUUAAUAUUGUUUUGCAGAAAUGAAUUAAAACAAGAACAAAUAAUAUGUACAAACUUGAAUUCACUAAUUUCUUAUGUAAUAGGUGAGGAAUCUAUUCUCUGAUAAUUGUUAUACACAGAUAAAUUAUUUUUUGAAAUUAUCAAAUGAGAAAUGUGAGAAAUUUGUUAGUAGGAGGAAAAAGUAGGUGAUAAAUUUUGUAGUUGGGUAUGCAUGAAUUGUAUUGAGUGAGAUUAACUUAUGGAGAGUACAGAUCUCUCGAAUACAUCACUACAAAGAUAGUGAUAUUCUGCAUAUUGAGCCAAUAAAACCAACUCCAGUUGAGUCUACACUGUUCAAGUUUGUAGAGGAAGUAAAAGAUUUAAAGAACCUAGCUGCUAAGCUGCGUGCUGUAAAUGAAUUUGCAGUAAGAUAUUACUAAAGCCAUUCAAGACUGUUUGCUUUGUCUUUGUGGCAAAGUUGCAGUUUCAUUUUCUUCUUUGUGGAUGAUCUGUUUCUUGAAUUGGAGAAUGAAGGAUCCUUUGAAAUGGAUUUGAUAUGAACAAUGUUGAAUUAUAGAAAACUAAACAUUUUAAAGUGUAAGCAUUUACCGCUCAUGAUAUAAUACGAAACUCAUACUUAAGUGUAAGCCUUUUCGCUUAUGGUCUAUUAUGAAACUCGAUACUUAAAUUGUUAUUAUCGAUAAUGUAUCAUAUAUUUUCUUUCUUGUUUUUCAUGUAAACCUUUGAUCACAACAAUGAUUUUGCUGAAGUUGGCAUUUUUUUCACCAUUAGCUUUCAUGUUGUGAUCCUCCCCAUCAUUCAAGAUGUUUUCAGUCAAUUUUCUACUUUUGACAAACCAAGCCCCCCAUCAAAAAAUGAGAAAAAAAAAAAAAUUCUAAUAUAUGCUAAUGUUGUUCUUUUUAACUUUGAUUUUUCUUAUCUAGAUUGAUUUGGAACAUAAUCAAUAUAUCGUUCUUUUCAAGGAUUGACUUGUUUGAUAGAAAUCUAACCAAGAACUGAAGAUUUUGUAAUAGAUGCUCUGAAGCUCUGAAUUCAUAUUGGUCCAUAUCUUAGAGAAGUUUUCAAGGACCCAACAAAGAGAAAGGUGAUGCAUGGAGUAGACUGUGAUAUUUUUUGGCUUCAAAGAGAUUUUGGCAUUUUCAUCUGCAAUAUGUUUGACACCGGCCAGGUAUUGUACUAUAAAAAUUACUGGUAUUUGGAGUGAAUUUUAGUUGCUCUUUCUGGAGAUUGAUUAAUAUGUAUAAUUUCUACACAUGGAGAAGUAGUUUCUUAUUUUCAUUGGUAUCUUAGCCUCAACAUUUUGUUUCAUUUUCGUUCUUUUGGGAUAUUUGGUGUACAUACUUUCAGUGGUGGUUCCAGCUUUUUGUUAAUUAUGCUAUUUAUUAUUAUGAUUUUUUCCUAAACAUUCCAAGACAAGGAAGUGAUGCAUCUAAUAUAAUAACUAUUUGUGAUCAUAA